GCGGCACGCCUAACACAUGCAAGUCGAGCGGCAGCGCGAUUAGUAGCAAUACUAAUUGGCGGCGAGCGGCGGACGGGUGAGGAACACGUAGGAACCUGCCCUUUAGCGGGGGACAACCAAGGGAAACUUUGGCUAAUACCGCGUAAUCUCGAAAGAGGAAAGCUGCCCGCAAGGGUGGCGCUAAAGGAGGGGCCUGCGUCCGAUUAGGUAGUUGGUGAGGUAAAGGCUCACAAAGGCUGUGAUCUGUAGCUGGUCUGAGAGGACGACCAGCCACACUGGAACUGAGACACGGUCCAGACUCCUACGGGAGGCAGCAGUGGGGAAUUUUGGACAAUGGGCGAAAGCCUGAUCCAGCCAUUCCGCGUGCAGGAUGAAGGCCCUCGGGUUGUAAACUGCUUUUGUACAGAACGAAAAGGUUUCUACUAAUACUAGGAGCUCAUGACGGUACUGUAAGAAAAAGCACCGGCUAACUACGUGCCAGCAGCCGCCGUAA
rnacentral:rRNA from 1 species